rnacentral:rRNA from 1 species
AGCGGUAAAAGCUCAAAUUUGAAAUCUGGUACUUUCAGUGCCCGAGUUGUAAUUUGUAGAAUUUGUCUUUGAUUAGGUCCUUGUCUAUGUUCCUUGGAACAGGACGUCAUAGAGGGUGAGAAUCCCGUUUGGCGAGGAUACCUUUUCUCUGUAAGACUUUUUCGAAGAGUCGAGUUGUUUGGGAAUGCAGCUCAAAGUGGGUGGUAAAUUCCAUCUAAAGCUAAAUAUUGGCGAGAGACCGAUAGCGAACAAGUACAGUGAUGGAAAGAUGAAAAGAACUUUGAAAAGAGAGUGAAAAAGUACGUGAAAUUGUUGAAAGGGAAGGGCAUUUGAUCAGACAUGGUGUUUUU